rnacentral:antisense_RNA from 2 species
CUUCACCGACCCCAGCCACAGCGGAUCACCGUCGCGGUUCCGGCCGUAGGUGGCCAGCAGUGCCUGCGCCUC